rnacentral:misc_RNA from 1 species
AAGUCGUAACAAGGUUUCCGUAGGUGAACCUGCGGAAGGAUCAUUACAAUACGUUACCACGUAUAAACCAAACGGUUGAACUGAUUGCGUCCGAUAGGAGAAAUACAUAGUGGUGGUGGCCGGCGGCUUGGAGGUUGGAAUCACUCAACAAUCAAAACACAUUUACUCUCCCGAGUGGUGGUUUUGAGGUGAUCAAAAGUGCCUCGGUCGGUCGUUCUGUUGCGUCAAGUAACGGAAGCCCUUUUUUCCUAGUUCGCGCAUUGAAUUUUCCAAUGUCAAACACUUUUGCAUCGCCUUUUUUGUUUUCUUUUUUAACCCAUUUCACCUUUACUAUUAACAAUCAACGAACUAAAUCGAGAAUUUGGUCUUAACCGACCUGAAUUCUUGCGAUAUUACGAAACUUAAUAACAACUCUUAACAACGGAUAUCUUGGCUCUC